AAUUGCCUGAAAGGCCAACAUUUCCGUUAUUUUGAACCUACAAUUACUUUAAACGGGAAUCUUAUAUCGCUCUUACGGCUGUCAUGCCUCCGGCGCUUCGGCGCUGCCAGUGGAAGGCAAAGGUCUGAGCUGCGGGAACCCACCUGGCAUGCGUGCUAGGAGUCAAAGUACGGAAGCGGCGUUUCAGGUAUUAU
rnacentral:other from 1 species